rnacentral:rRNA from 1 species
UACGAAGGACCCGAGCGUUAUCCGGAUUUAUUGGGUUUAAAGGGUGCGUAGGCGGAUUAGUAAGUCAGUGGUGAAAGCCCGUCGCUUAACGGCGGAACUGCCAUUGAUACUGCUAGUCUUGAGUAUGGUUGAGGUGGGCGGAAUGUGUCAUGUAGCGGUGAAAUGCUUAGAUAUGACCCAGAACACCAAUUGCGAAGGCAGCUCGCUAAGCCAUAACUGACGCUGAGGCACGAAAGCGUGGGGAUCAAACAGG